UUAUACCCAAGUGCUAGUGUCAGACA
rnacentral:piRNA from 1 species